GAGGGGAGGCAUGGGCAUAUCCCAUUGUCCUUGUGUUUGUGUGUGGCUCUGAAGUCUGAAUUUCAAGAAGUCACACACACACAAAACAGCUGGUCCCUGGUCCUGGUCAGUCUGUGACUGUGAGGAGCAGGAGUGGAAGGACUAAGGGGUGCAGUCCCAGUCCAGAUAUAAGUGCACCACAAUGACUGCACCAUUAUUUAUCACUGCAACUAUUCAGUGACAGUAUAAUCUGAGUGGAUCAAGGAAGCAACUGUUUCAGGCAAAGAACAAAUUAUCCAGCGAGGAAAGUGUCCAUUGGGUGCCAUGCCUGCACCUUAAAUGUAUUUGAACCACCGAGAGCGUAAAGAGCAGAGCAACCCCAAGUGCCUCUCAGUUCUUUCACCAAUACAGAAGUCAGGUCUUACUGAGACCCUGUAGUAGUGUGGACAGAUGACAGGAGUGAAAUAUAUAUGGACAACGCAUCUCAAAGAAUCACAGUUACUGUAAGUGUCCCAUUUUGCUGGCUUUGUUUCAACCUCUCAUUCACAUCAGUGACAAUUAAUGACCCCGGUGCUGGUGGUCAUAGAAAAUUGCUGGAAGCUCUGGGAAGACACUUAGGAGUGAUGGUCUGCUCUCUUUGAUGCUGGUGCCAGAGAAGCAGGCACCUGCCAGAGCAAUUUAGUUGGCUGCAAAAGCCUUUUAUUGGUCACUGCAAGACAUCCUAGCACUGAAGUGUGCAGGAUGUCCAGAAGCUUGUAUGGUGCGCAGAAUGUCCUGGACCAUCUCUGCUGGAAUCUCCAAUGUGUCAUCCAUUCUGCUUAACAAGUCCACAAAUGUAUUGUUUACCUCAUCAAGCUCAACCACAGGUGGGAGUAUAGGACUGACCUCUGCAAGUUUACUUUGUGGUAAAAUUAAAGUGCCUCAUCUUCACUGAGUUUUUAAUCUUGUGAUAGCUCACAGCUACCUGAAGAGGGAGAUACUGGUCUGUCCAGGAGGAAUGUUUUCAGAUGAGACUCCCUAGAUCUUUGUCUUUUCCGUAAUGUGGCUCUUGCCCAGACACAGUAAACAUCUGGUGUGCCCAUCAUGGAAAGGCAUUAUCAUCUCCAUGAAAGGCAAUUUUUAAAUCCUGGAGUCAUGUUGAGUCAUAAUGACUAAUCUUGGGGCACAAACUCAGGCAAACCAAACAAUUUUCUUCCUUAAAUGGAGAAAGGAAACAAUAAAAUCUCUAACACUAAUGACUAAGUAUUAAGUACCUAACUAUUUACAUUGCAAAGAAUAGGGCACACAGUGAGUGGAGAUGGGGCAUGGCAAGACUUGUAGCCCCAGGCAGUGAGAAGGAAG